AGCAUUCACCUAGGGGGCUCCCGGGCGCGAAGUGCCUCUCCAGCCAGCGCAUCGCAGCAGCGUCCCCGCCUCCGCAGGCCGCACCCCGCAGGCUCGGCGCGAGCGCGGUACCCCCCGCGCUGCCCCCGCCCCCCGCGGCCCUCAAGCUCCUCCCCCCGCGGCCGCGUCCUCCCCGGCGACGGCCGGGCACCUGGCAGUCGCACGGAGGCAGAGGAAGCGGGCGGCUACCCUCGGGCGGCGGCGGCGGCGGCGGCGGCAGGCGGGCGGCGGGGGAGGGGCGCGGGAGCACAGAUGGGAGCAACUGAGAAGGGCGGCAAGAAGAGCCGGAGGCUGUUUUCUUCGCUGCGGCCGUGGAAGACGACCCGGCGGCUGUGGCGGACGCGUUCGGCUUCCAAGGCGGCUCAGGGCAAUUAUCAGAGCCCUGGUGCUCCUCCGUUGAGGGACUUCGCCCCCGAGACCGCUGACUGUAUGUGAAUAACAAAUCAAAAGUCAGGGUUGCAGAAUCAGCCGGACUUUCCCGCUCCUUUGCAGCAGAGGGAGGAAGCAGAGAAUGAAAGAUUCUGAAAAUAAAGGUAAGGGGCUGACUGCA
rnacentral:lncRNA from 1 species